rnacentral:rRNA from 1 species
UACGAAGGGGGCUAGCGUCGUUCGGAAUCACUGGGCGUAAAGCGCGCGUAGGCGGGUCGCUAAGUCAGGGGUGAAAUCCUGAGGCUCAACCUCAGAACUGCCUUCGAUACUGGCGAUCUUAGAGUCCGGGAGAGGUGAGUGGAACUCCUAGUGUAGAGGUGAAAUUCGUAGAUAUUAGGAAGAACACCAGUGGCGAAGGCGGCUCACUGGCCCGGUACUGACGCUGAUGUGCGAAAGCGUGGGGAGCAAACAGG